GGCCUGCGUCCGAUUAGCUCGUUGGUGGGGUAACGGCUCACCAAGGCGACGAUCGGUAGGUGGUCUGAGAGGACGAUCACCCAGACUGGGACUGAGACACGGCCCAGACUCCUACGGGAGGCAGCAGUCGGGAAUUUUGCCCAAUGGACGAAAGUCUGAGGCAGCAACGCCGCGUGAGGGAUGAAGGCCUUCGGGUUGUAAACCUCUUUUCUCAGGGACGAUAAUGACGGUACCUGAGGAAUAAGUCACGGCUAACUACGUGCCAGCAGCCGCGGUAAUACGUAGGUGGCAAGCGUUGUCCGGAUUUACUGGGCGUAAAGAGCGCGCAGGCGGUCGUUCAAGUCGAGUGUGAAAGCCCCCGGCUCAACUGGGGAGGGUCACUCGAUACUGAUCGACUUGAAGGCAGGAGAGGGAAGCGGAAUUCCCGGUGUAGUGGUGAAAUACGUAGAUAUCUGGAAGAACACCAGUGGCGAAGGCGGUCUCUUGGUCCAAUACUGACGCUAAGGCGCGAAAGCGUGGGGAGCAAACAGGAUUAGAUACCCUGGUAGUCCACGCUGUAAACGAUGAAUACUAGGUGUCGGGUCGUAAGGUUCGGUACCGAAGCUAACGCAUUAAGUAUUCCACCUGGGGAGUACGAUCGCAAGGUUGAA
rnacentral:rRNA from 1 species